rnacentral:rRNA from 1 species
GCAAGUCGAACGAUGAAGCUUCUAGCUUGCUAGAGUGCUGAUUAGUGGCGCACGGGUGAGUAACGCAUAGGUUAUGUGCCUCUUAGUUUGGGAUAGCCAUUGGAAACGAUGAUUAAUACCAGAUACUCCCUACGGGGGAAAGAUUUAUCGCUAAGAGAUCAGCCUAUGUCCUAUCAGCUUGUUGGUAAGGUAAUGGCUUACCAAGGCUAUGACGGGUAUCCGGCCUGAGAGGGUGAACGGACACACUGGAACUGAGACACGGUCCAGACUCCUACGGGAGGCAGCAGUAGGGAAUAUUGCUCAAUGGGGGAAACCCUGAAGCAGCAACGCCGCGUGGAGGAUGAAGGUUUUAGGAUUGUAAACUCCUUUUGUUAGAGAAGAUAAUGACGGUAUCUAACGAAUAAGCACCGGCUAACUCCGUGCCAGCAGCCGCGGUAAUACGGAGGGUGCAAGCGUUACUCGGAAUCACUGGGCGUAAAGAGCGCGUAGGCGGGAUAGUCAGUCAGGUGUGAAAUCCUAUGGCUUAACCAUAGAACUGCAUUUGAAACUACUAUUCUAGAGUGUGGGAGAGGUAGGUGGAAUUCUUGGUGUAGGGGUAAAAUCCGUAGAGAUCAAGAGGAAUACUCAUUGCGAAGGCGACCUGCUGGAACAUUACUGACGCUGAUUGCGCGAAAGCG